rnacentral:rRNA from 1 species
CAGCAGCCACGGUAAUACGAAGGGGGCUAGCGUUGUUCGGAAUUACUGGGCGUAAAGCGCACGUAGGCGGACAUUUAAGUCAGGGGUGAAAUCCCGGGGCUCAACCCCGGAACUGCCUUUGAUACUGGGUGUCUUGAGUGUGGAAGAGGUCAGUGGAAUUGCGAGUGUAGAGGUGAAAUUCGUAGAUAUUCGCAGGAACACCAGUGGCGAAGGCGGCUGACUGGUCCACAACUGACGCUGAGGUGCGAAAGCGUGGGGAGCAAACAGGAUUAGAUACCCGCGUAGUCCCUGUCUCUUAUAA